rnacentral:tRNA from 1 species
UGAUAGAAACCAAAAAAGAGGUGUAUCACUGUUAAUGAUAUAAAUGAGGCAAAUACUCCUAUCAA